AAUAAGCACAACCAUAAAUUUUGGUGUCCAACCUUAAUCGUCCAUCUUAUUUGAAAUUUUUUCAUGUUUAGUAUUUUUAUAGUUAUUAGAUUAUAAAACACGAAUAUUACUUUAUGCGUGACUUAUAUUUUUUAGUUUUUUUUAAAAAAAUAAAUAAGACGAACAAUUAAAGUUGGGACACAGAAACUCAUGGUUGUGCUUGUU
rfam:Oryza nivara chromosome 9, whole genome shotgun sequence.